rnacentral:rRNA from 1 species
UACGGAGGGAGCUAGCGUUGUUCGGAAUCACUGGGCGUAAAGCGCACGUAGGCGGAUUGUUAAGUCAGGGGUGAAAUCCUGGAGCUCAACUCCAGAACUGCCUUUGAUACUGGCGAUCUCGAGUCCGGGAGAGGUGAGUGGAACUGCGAGUGUAGAGGUGAAAUUCGUAGAUAUUCGCAAGAACACCAGUGGCGAAGGCGGCUCACUGGCCCGGUACUGACGCUGAGGUGCGAAAGCGUGGGGAGCAAACAGG